rnacentral:rRNA from 1 species
GACGAACGCUGGCGGCGUGCUUAACACAUGCAAGUCGAACGAAGUGGCGAACGGGUGAGUAACGCGUAAUCAACCUGCCCUUCAGCGGGGGCCAACAGUUGGAAACGACUGCUAAUACCGCAUACUGACGGGGGGGCUUGCGUCUGAUGAGCUAGUUGGAGGGGUAACGGCCCACCAAGGCGAUGAGCAGUAGCCGGUCUGAGAGAAUGGACGGCUACAGUGAGACUGAGACACGGCCCAGACUCCUACGGGAGGCAGCAGUGGGGAAUCUUCCGCAAUGGACGAAAGUCUGACGGGGGAACGCCGCGUGAGUGAUGACGGCCUUCGGGUUGUAAAGCUCUGUUAAUCGGGACGCGGUACCGGAAGAGAAAGCCACGGCUAACUACGUGCCAGCAGCCGCGGUAAUUC